rnacentral:rRNA from 1 species
CCCUUAGUAACUGCGAGUGAAGUGGGAAAAGCUCAAAUUUAAAAUCUGACAAUCACUGAUUGUUUGAGUUGUAAUCUAGAGAAGUGUUACCCGUGCUGGACCAUGUACAAGUCUCCUGGAAUGGAGCAUCACAGAGGGUGAGAAUCCCGUCUUUGACAUGGACUACCAGUGCAUUUGUGGUGUGCUCUCGAAGAGUCGAGUUGUUUGGGAAUGCAGCUCAAAAUGGGUGGUAAAUGCCAUCUAAAGCUAAAUAUUGGCGAGAGACCGAUAGUGAACAAGUACCGUGAGGGAAAGAUGAAAAGAACUUUGGAAAGAGAGUUAAACAGUACGUGAAAUUGCUGAAAGGGAAACGCUUGAAGUCAGUCGCAUUGACUUGAAAUCAACCCUGCUUUUGCUGGGUGUACUUUCUUGUUCAAUGGGUCAGCAUCAAUUUUGACUGUUGGAUAAAGUUAUUGGGAAUGUGGCAUCUUUAGAUGUGUUAUAGCCCACUGAUGUAUACAGCGGUUGAGAUUGAGGAACUCAGCAUGCCACAAGGCCGGGUUUCAACCACGUUCGUGCUUAGGAUGCUGGCAUAAUGGCUUUAAUCGACCCGUCUUGAAACACGGACCAAGGAGUCUAACAUACAUGCAAGUGUUUGGGUGAAAAACUCAUGUGCGUAAUGAAAGUGAAAGUUGAGAUCCUUUCGAAAGGGAGGAGCAUCGACGCCCGGACCAGACCUUUUGUGAUGGAUCCGCGGUAGAGCAUGUAUGUUGGGACCCGAAAGAUGGUGAACUAUGCCUGAAUAGGGUGAAGCCAGAGGAAACUCUGGUGGAGGCUCGUAGCGAUUCUGACGUGCAAAUCGAUCGUCAAUUUGGGUAUAGGGGCGAAAGA